rnacentral:rRNA from 1 species
AUGAACGCUGGCGGCGUGCCUAAUCCCUGCAAGUCGAGCGAACAGACGAGGAGCUUGCUCCUCUAACGUUAGCAGCGGACGGGUGAGUAACACGUGGAUAACCUACCUAUAAGACUGGGAUAACUUCGGGAAACCGGAGCUAAUACCGGAUAAUAUAUUGAACCGCAUGGUUCAAUAGUGAAAGACGGUUUUGCUGUCACUUAUAGAUGGAUCCGCGCCGCAUUAGCUAGUUGGUAAGGUAACAGCUUACCAAGGCAACGAUGCGUAGCCGACCUGAGAGGGUGAUCGGCCACACUGGAACUGAGACACGGUCCAGACUCCUACGGGAGGCAGCAGUAGGGAAUCUUCCGCAAUGGGCGAAAGCCUGACGGAGCAACGCCGCGUGAGUGAUGAAGGUCUUCGGAUCGUAAAACUCUGUUAUUAGGGAAGAACAAAUGUGUAAGUAACUAUGCACGUCUUGACGGUACCUAAUCAGAAAGCCACGGCUAACUACGUG